rnacentral:lncRNA from 1 species
GUUGGCUUGAGUCACAUGCACAGCUUGCGUCUCAGUUUGCCUCAGACUUAAGUGGCUGGUGGAAGUGAGAGAUCUCUAAAGAUUCACCCAAUCCCAUUGUUCUAAGGUAAUAAAUCCUAUAAUUGCUGUAUCCUCAGAACCCAGCACGGGGCACUGCAUACGGUAGAUCUGCUUAACCAUGUACCAAAUGCAUCCGCCUCUUCCCCAACAUCCAUUACUACUGGAACCCACCAAGAACUGAAUUCCAUGGUACUUCUCAGGAUUCUUGAGGUCUGGACUAAGCCCUGGAUUGGGAAAGACGUGUUUAUGAUGCAGACCAGUUGGGGAGAUUUUUCUUGAAGGAGCAGCAGCUUGGGAAUAGCUGACCUGAACUGAUGCCCCAGUGAUUCUGCUGCCUCUGCCAGAGUCAGAAAACUGUGGAUGUGGGAAGCUGCCCGUGGAGUCAGGAAGUCAUCCCUACUGAUGGAGCCUCUGCAGCCACCUUGGUCCUGGUCCACACCAGCAAUGUUGAUGCUGCCCUGCAGCCUGCCUAUCCCCUGGCUUAAUUCCGGCUCCAUGCAUGUGACGAGCAGAAAAAAGAAAGUCGCAUCUGGACCUCCGGCGGCAAGGGAGUCUGAGAAAGAUAGAUCUGUGCAUGGUCAUCUUAACCCUCCUGUAUCCUUAAAGCCCAGCACCAGGAAAUGGAUACAAACAUGGGAUGGACCUUGGUCAUCGACGUGCUCCAGAUGUCUCAGUUGCAAACGCCUGG